GGGUUACUGCCCUGUGCGUGGUUUUCUUUAUUCCCUGGGGCUAUAAUUUUCAUCCGGGGAGCUGUCCCUGUGGAGACCGUGGUCUCUUUAUACGGCGCCCACCUGUCUAUCAGGUUCCGGAGGAUUAAACAUAAAAUCACGGCAGCGAUGGUCCCGC
rnacentral:other from 1 species